GACGUAGGGCGCGAGCGUUGUCCGGAUUUAUUGGGCGUAAAGAGCUCGUAGGCGGCUUGUUGCGUCAGCUGUGAAAACCCGCAGCUCAACUGUGGGCUUGCAGCUGAUACGGGCAGGCUUGAGUUCGGUAGGGGAGACUGGAAUUCCUGGUGUAGCGGUGAAAUGCGCAGAUAUCAGGAGGAACACCGGUGGCGAAGGCGGGACUCUGGGCCGAUACUGACGCUGAGGAGCGAAAGCGUGGGGAGCGAACAGG
rnacentral:rRNA from 1 species